AAACAUGUCCUUUUGAUUAUAUAUAUAAGGUCUAACCUGCCCACUGAUUUAUUAAAUGGCCGCAGUAUCCUAACUGUGCAAAGGUAGCAUAAUCAUUAGUCUUUUAAUUGAAGGCUGGUAUGAAUGGUUGGACGAGGCACUAACUGUUUCAUUUAUAUUUAUUUUAGAAUUUUAUUUUUUAGUCAAAAAGCUAAAAUUUAUUUAAAAGACGAGAAGACCCUAUAAAUCUUUAUAUUUUUUUAUGUAUUAUUAAUAUAGAUUUUGUUUAUUAUUACAUGAAUAAAUAUUUUAUUGGGGUGAUAUUAAAAUUUAAUAAACUUUUAAUUUUUAAGAACAUUUAUUAAUGAAUAAUUGAUCCGUUUUUAACGAUUAAAAAUUUAAGUUACUUUAGGGAUAACAGCGUAAUUUUUUUGGAGAGUUCAUAUCGAUAAAAAAGAUUGCGACCUCGAUGUUGGAUUAAGAUUCAGACUUGGGCGCAGCCGUUCAAGUUUUAAGUCUGUUCGACGUUUUAAAUCUUACAUGAUCU
rnacentral:rRNA from 1 species